AUUUCCAUCUCUCAGUGGACCUUCUAGCUACACUUGACAAGGAGCAAAUUCCUUCACUGGCCACAUUCUUGUUUUUUUCAAUAAAAGCACAAAGCUCACUAGCAAGGGGUGGUGGUAUCUCUUUGACCUCGGGGAAUUUAUGAAUGUCUUGAAACUUAUAUAGGAUGUUGAGCAACCUACAAUCUUCUGGAGCAGUUGUUUGAAGAACUUCCAAUGUGGUUCUGCAUUUCAUAAUUAGCCAUCUCAUUGCAACAACUUCACUCUCUGUUGAAAGUCUGUUCCCUGAAUAAACAAGGUGUACAACAGAUUUGCGAGUGGUUUUAGGGACUGCCCAGAAUCGCAAUGUUGAUAGUAGUGCAAAGGAUGGCUUCCCAUCUGGAUGAAUGUAUAGUGACUCAUUAUCCCAUGAGCAGAGAGAAUACAUAUCUGGUUCUAAAGGUAUAAAGGCCUUGUCAUUUGGGUUUUCAGUCAGAAGAAAUCCAUAGUGUUGUAGAAGCUCCAGAUUGGUGUAGGUUCCGUAGCUUAGAAGAACCUGGUCUCCUUUCCGGUAGUUUCUUCUAGCAUAGAAAUGGUAUGAAGAAACGUCUUUCUCAUAUCCAGCAUCUAUUAGCCUAGUGGUAGAAUCCAAUUCAGUUUCUGAUUUAAG
rnacentral:misc_RNA from 1 species